CCUACGGGCGGCAGCAGUGAGGAAUAUUGGUCAAUGGACGAGAGUCUGAACCAGCCAAGUAGCGUGAAGGAUGACUGCCCUAUGGGUUGUAAACUUCUUUUAUAUGGGAAUAAAAUGUUCCACGUGUGGGAUUUUGUAUGUACCAUAUGAAUAAGGAUCGGCUAACUCCGUGCCAGCAGCCGCGGUAAUACGGAUGAUCCGAGCGUUAUCCGGAUUUAUUGGGUUUAAAGGGAGCGUAGGUGGAUUGUUAAGUCAGUUGUGAAAGUUUGCGGCUCAACCGUAAAAUUGCAGUUGAAACUGGCAGUCUUGAGUACAGUAGAGGUGGGCGGAAUUCGUGGUGUAGCGGUGAAAUGCUUAGAUAUCACGAAGAACUCCGAGUGCGAAGGCAGUUCACUGGACUGCAACUGACACUGAGGCUCGAAAGUGUGGGUAUCAAACAGGAUUAGAUACCCUUGUAGUC
rnacentral:rRNA from 1 species